AUACAUUUCUCAGCAUUUUGGCUAAGAUCAAGUAUAGUAUCUGAUUUUAUCAAUUUAAUAUCUGAUAUAUGGACUAUUGGUUCACAUGAUACGCUAUUUUUAAGUUAGAAACUCACAUUAAAAUAGCUUAUCUGAGUUUUCACAAGUGGUCUAAGCGUUGCUUAUAUUAUUGCACGGAUAUGGCUCAUUCCCA
rfam:Arabidopsis thaliana chromosome 3, complete sequence.